rnacentral:rRNA from 1 species
GACGAACGCUGGCGGCGUGCUUAACACAUGCAAGUCGUACGGUAAGGCCCUUUCGGGGGUACACGAGUGGCGAACGGGGGAGUAACACGGGAGUAACCUGCCCACAACUUUGGGAUAACGCUAGGAAACUGGGGCUAAUACUGGAUAUGUGCUCCUGCUGCAUGGUGGGGGUUGGAAAGCUCCGGCGGUUGUGGAUGGACGCGCGGCCUAUCAGCUGGUUGGUGGGGUAGUGGCCUACCAAGGCGGCGACGGGUAGCCGGCCUGAGAGGGUGACCGGCCACAUUGGGACUGAGAUACGGCCCAGACUCCUACGGGAGGCAGCAGUGGGGAAUAUUGCACAAUGGGCGCCAGCCUGAUGCAGCAACGCCGCGUGCGGGAUGACGGCCUUCGGGUUGUAAACCGCUUUCAGCAGGGACGAAGCUUUUUGUGACGGUACCUGCAGAAGAAGCACCGGCUAACUACGUG